GUAUGAAGGAGGAACUGUAUCUCCUAUAUAUAUUAAGUUUCAUUUAUAAAGACAUCAGAGAACACCUGAGAAUGUUUCAAAGUCACCAGAAGCUUUCUGAAAAUGCCUUUCUGCAAAGAAGGUUUCCAGUACUUUCAGGGAGAGUGUUAAUUGGAUUUGAAGGAAGACACUGAUGAGCUGCUGGGAGUGAGAGUGAGAGCCUCGAGGAGUCUACAGUGCAUUUUAAGGAGUGUAGCUCUGAUGAACUGCAAGGCCUUUGUUUUGCUGUGUGGGGGCCCUGCCUUUUCUCUAAAGAGAAGUUGAAGACUUACCUAAAGAACAUCCUUUCGAAGGAGAAACAACAAUCACUAGCUUGUCCAGCGCAUGCUCAUGUCUUCAUCCAGAGGUUGAGCAUCCCUAAUCCGAAAAUCCAAAGUGCAAAAUGUUCCAAAAUCUGAAACUUGCUGAAUACCAACAUGACGCCACAGAUGGAAAGUUCCAUACCUGACCUCAUGUGAUGGGUCCCAGUCAAAACACAGGUGGACAAUACUAGCUUAUUCAGCAUUCCCAAGGGAAAACUGAAAUUACCUUCAGCCUAUAUGUAUAAGGUGAAUAUGAAACAUAAAUAAAUUUUGUGUUUGGACUUGGGUCCCAUCCCUAGGAUUUUUCAUAUUAUAUAUAUGUACAAAUACUUCAAAAUCAAAAAAAUCUGAAGUCCAAAACACUUCUGAUCCCAAGCCUUUCAGAUAAGGAAUACUCAACCUGUAUCAGUUAUUUUGGCUGUUUUUCCCAGGAUUUAUUUCUGUAUUUCCCAAUGAUAUAUGUAUACUGCUAUUUCUUAAUUUAUCUUUUUUGUCAUUAUUUAGUGAGAAACUAUUAAAAUAGUUGAUGAUUUAACUCUCCUAAA